rnacentral:lncRNA from 13 species
GUCUUCCUCAGGUCCCUCCCCAGGCGGCCGAGGUCCUUGACGUAGCAUCCCUGGUGAAACACGCAGGACUCACGGAAUAGGCGGGCCUGGAACACCCCACACCAGUCCAGCUGGUCCGUCACAGGGUCGGCAUACUUGGCCAGGCUGGCAGUGAAGAGAACACAUUCAAAGAGUUCCCCCAUGCGUCUCAGGAACUCGUCCACAUAAGGCCUCUUGAGCACAUACACCUGGUGAGUGGUCCCCUCAAUCUCUGUAGGCACUAUGAAGUCAGCAUUGUUGAUUGGCUUAAAGGAGCUGUGCACCAGGGUUUCGUCCAGGUCAAUGACCACACAGAUCCUUCCUUGAUCUUACUCUGUCACCUCUGGGAGCAGGCAGGUCCCUGGGAUCUGGUAGAACUGGUACUGGAGACACUGGAGCAGAUCCGACUUAGCAAUGGUGUUCACUUCCUCCUUAUACGCAGCGAGCUCAGUGGAGCAACUUGACUGGCCAACAUGCUGGGCGCGAAAACAGCAGAAAAGGGCCUUGAAGAUGUUACGUCCAAGAGGCUUCUUAGGAGAGGAUUUGGAGACCAGGCCUUACUUGGACUUAGCAGCUCGUCCUCUCAAAUGGAAUCUGUCCCUCAGCACUUUGAAUUGGAACUGCCCUAGUGACUUCUUAUGGCCAGUAGAAGAUGGUAGAAGUGACAGCGUUCUACUUCUAAACACAGGUCUUAAAAGGUCCUCGCACUUAUGCAAUCUCUCUCUCUUGCUCUCUCUUUCUCUAUGAUUCUCUCUUCCCUUAGCUCCUCUAUAAGCAUAAAGCCAGGCUAGCUUGAUGGAAGAUGAGAGACCAUGUGGAGAAGAGCUAUAUAAGUCAGCCAAUAACUAACUAAAUAAUCUUCAGCUGACACAGAGGCAUAAGGGAGCCCAGCAAAUAUCAGUGAACCCAGGCUACAUUGUCAGGGGGCAGAAUGAGUGGAUAAUUUGUUACACAGCAAGAACCAGCUGACACAGUUAGCCUCAGUCUUCUCAACUAUACUAUACAGAUAAUAUUAAGUCCCUGUUAGAUUCACAUAAGAAAAAUAUAUGUGAAGGAUUUCAGCACUGUACUUGGUCUAUUAAAGGAAUUCAGUAAAUGGUAGCUUUUCAUUAUUUUUAAAACUAAGCCACUUACACUAUCUCCUUUGCACCACACUGGCUAGGUGGUUGUUUACAAUUGACACAAUUUAGGCCACCUCAAGUUGUAAAGGAAAACAAAAUAGCCCAAAUAGAUAUCACCAUAGCCUCUGGAGCAUUGUGUUUAAUUGGGUUGAGCUAAUACAUUCCAGAUGGCUACAAACCUAAGUUGUAAACACUGAAUAUCUCAAAUAAAUUGUGAAUUCCCUCACCUCUGAGCCUUUGC